UACGUAGGGGGCAAGCGUUGUCCGGAAUUAUUGGGCGUAAAGCGCGUGUAGGCGGUCCGGUAAGUCGGUUGUGAAAGUCCAGGGCUCAACCCUGGGAUGCCGAUCGAUACUGCCGGACUAGAGUCCGGAAGAGGCGAGUGGAAUUCCCGGUGUAGCGGUGAAAUGCGCAGAUAUCGGGAGGAACGCCGGUGGCGAAGGCGGAUCUCUGGGCCUUACCUGACGCUGAGGCGCGAAAGCUAGGGGAGCAAACGGG
rnacentral:rRNA from 1 species